rnacentral:misc_RNA from 1 species
AAGUCGUAACAAGGUCUCCGUUGGUGAACCAGCGGAGGGAUCAUUACCGAGUUUACAACUCCCAAACCCCGUGUGAACCUACCGUCUCCGUUGCUUCGGCGGUGUCGCCCCGGGCGCGGGCCUUCUGAAGGCCGCCAGCCCCGGACCCAGGCGCCCGCCGGAGGACCCCCAAACUCCACUGUAUUACCCAUCGUCUUCUGAGUCUUCUACGCUCUCUGAGCGGUAAAGAAAUAAAAUCAAAACUUUCAACAACGGAUCUCUUGGCUCUG